GAUGAAGAACGCAGCGAAAUGCGAUACGUAAUGUGAAUUGCAGAAUUCAGUGAAUCAUCGAGUCUUUGAACGCGCAUUGCGCCCCCUGGUAUUCCGGGGGGCAUGCCUGUCCGAGCGUCAUUGCUGCCCUCAAGCACGGCUUGUGUGUUGGGCCUCCGUCCUCCUCCCGGGGGACGGGCCCGAAAGGCAGCGGCGGCACCGCGUCCGGUCCUCGAGCGUAUGGGGCUUCGUCACCCGCUCUUGUAGGCCCGGCCGGCGCUUGCCGACACAUCAAUCUUUUUUCCAGGUUGACCUCGGAUCAGGUAGGGAUACCCGCUGAACUUAAGCAUAUCAAUAAGCGGAGGA
rnacentral:misc_RNA from 1 species